AUUGAACGCUGGCGGCAUGCCUUACACAUGCAAGUCGAACGGCAUCGCGGGAAAGCUUGCUUUCCUGGCGGCGAGUGGCGAACGGGUGAGUAACACAUCGGAACGUACCGGCUAGUGGGGGAUAACCCGUCGAACGACGGGCUAAUACCGCAUACGCUCUUCGGAGGAAAGCAGGGGACCUUUGGGCCUUGCGCUAGCCGCGCGGCCGAUGUCCGAUUAGCUAGUUGGUGGGGUAAAGGCCUACCAAGGCGACGAUCGGUAGCGGGUCUGAGAGGACGAUCCGCCACACUGGAACUGAGACACGGCCCAGACUCCUACGGGAGGCAGCAGUGGGGAAUCUUGGACAAUGGGGGCAACCCUGAUCCAGCAAUGCCGCGUGGGUGAAGAAGGCCUUCGGGUUGUAAAGCCCUGUCGGCAGGGAAGAAAUCGGCGGGGCGAAUAACCCUGCUGGAUGACGGUACCUGCAGAAGAAGCACCGGCUAACUACGUG
rnacentral:rRNA from 1 species